GGCACAGUGGCUUAGUGGUUAGCACUGUUGCCUCGCACCUCCAGGGUUGGAGGUUCAGUUCCUGCCUCUGCCC